rfam:Cathartes aura contig173081, whole genome shotgun sequence.
CCAAAGGCUCUUUUCAGCGCCACCCACAGUUCUCGCAACGGAGCUU